rnacentral:rRNA from 1 species
UACGUAGGGUGCAAGCGUUGUCCGGAAUUAUUGGGCGUAAAGAGCUCGUAGGCGGUUUGUCGCGUCUGCUGUGAAAACUCAGGGCUUAACCCCGAGCCUGCAGUGGGUACGGGCAGACUAGAGUGUGGUAGGGGAGAUCGGAAUUCCUGGUGUAGCGGUGGAAUGCGCAGAUAUCAGGAGGAACACCGGUGGCGAAGGCGGAUCUCUGGGCCAUAACUGACGCUGAGGAGCGAAAGCAUGGGGAGCGAACAGG